UUCUGGGUGUGUCAGAGUUCCUGGGAGUCAAGCUGCCUUUGAGAUUCUGAGACCCUGGAGUGACCAAGCUUCUGAGAUCCUGGGUUCCCGUUAUUCUGGGUGUGUUAGAGCGCCUGGGAGUUGAGCCUUCUCUGGAGUUCAAGCCCAAGAUAAACCAGGGCAGAGGAGAAGGAACCCAAGCCACUGGUCUGGUGGGGUUCCUACAUCCCUAGAUCCUGCUGGUUCCAGUUACUCCCAGUGGUGUUGAAACAGAUGUUCUGUUCUACUCACCCCUGAUUCUAAGAUCCUGGGUGUGCUAGAGCUCUUGGGAUUGGAGCCUCCUCUGGGGACUGUGGGACUGGCUACCCAAGCAGACUGCCCAAAGUCCACAGCAUUCUUGAAUGGCAUUUGGGAAUGGAGUUGGAGCAGAGGAAGUACAGUAAGGCAGUUGAAUGAAUGCGUGAGUCCCGGAGCACUGUACCCAUUUUACAGCUAUUAUAAAACUAUAAUAAAUAGUGUCUGGAU